rnacentral:ncRNA from 2 species
AUAAAUCGAAGAGGUUGCAACUGCUAUCAGUCCGCUGAUCGAGUUUCUGUGAAAACAACGACAUUGGCCAAAAGGCGCAGUUGCCGAAGCGGCAUCGCUCACAGGCGAUGCUUAGCUGGGACGUGAUUCAAUAAAUCACGGACUGUCGCAGGUACCAUACUUGCGGGGCGCUAUCGAAAAUG